AUACUUACCUGGACGGGGUCGAUGGGUGAUCAUAAAGACCCAUGGCCUAGGUGAGCGGCCUCCAUUGCACUUAGGAGGGGCGCUUGCCUAAGGUCUCCCCAAGCGGGAGAGCCUACGUCGUAAUUUGUGGUAGUGGGGGCCUGCGUUCGCGCGGCCCCUGU
rfam:Theobroma cacao cultivar Matina 1-6 chromosome 5, whole genome shotgun sequence.